GUCGGGGUAGCUCAGUUGGUAGAGCAGAGGACUGAAAAUC
rnacentral:tRNA from 1 species